rnacentral:rRNA from 1 species
UACCAGCACCCCGAGUGGUCGGGACGAUUAUUGGGCCUAAAGCAUCCGUAGCCGGUCCUGCAAGUCUUCCGUUAAAUCCAGCUGCUCAACAGAUGGGCUGCGGGGGAUACUACGUGGCUAGGAGGCGGGAGAGGCAAGCGGUACUCAGUGGGUAGGGGUAAAAUCCUUUGAUCCAUUGAAGACCACCAGUGGCGAAGGCGGCUUGCCAGAACGCGCUCGACGGUGAGGGAUGAAAGCUGGGGGAGCAAACCGG